rnacentral:lncRNA from 1 species
CUCAGCCACAGUGAGGUAGACGACGCCGUCCUCCUCAUCAAGGAGGCUAAGAAUGGGGCACCUGGGCACCUUCUUGGGCAGCUUCAGCUCUUCGUAGGUUGGAUCAGCCCACACAUCAAUGAUACGGAAGGAUCCGCCUUUCUUCCAUACUGAGUUUGAGAUGCAGAGAGUCCAUGUUGUGAGGGUGAUCAGGUCGUCAAUGUCGCUGGCUGGAUUCAUGUGAACGAACCUGACAGUGUCACCACGAACACUGCACAUGGAGCUGAAGUCCCUUGGCCUCCCCCGGCCUUGCUCAGGAUGCCAUGACCGGGAGUAUCCCUUGGGCAAGGAUAUGAACCGAAACUUUGGAUCAUCCAUAACCUUGUCGCAGAUCAGGAUGCCCUUAAGGAGAUCCACCCAGCAUAUAGAAUUGUCUCCCAGCGCGAACACGACAUCAGCACAGAAAAUGUAAGCAGGGUCAGACGGGAGGGGAAACGGGAGCACAACCUCCUUGUUGAUCCACUGGCCUGCGACGGCGCCGGAGGAACACCACGUGAACAGAGUAGCCUGUGUUGACGAGGUGCGGUGGUAGAGGAGCUCGGCGAGCACGUACUCGCUAGGCGGGUCGUGGCGGAGGACGGCGGUCCCGGCUCCGACGCCACGGUGGGUGAACUGCGAGGCGGAGGACGGCGGCAGCGGCAGGACGGCGGCGAGGGAGUUGGCCAAGGAGUCGUAGACCAGGUAGAAACCCGGCGGAGGGAACGUGGGCCGGUACGGCCCGGCGUACAUGGCGAUGAUGUUGUGGUCGGCGCCCGCUAUGGAUGCGCCGCUGGGGAACUGGUUGAAGGUGUCGCGUGCUCCGGCGGACACGCUGAGCACGAGGGAGGCGACUCCGGGGGGGUGGGGGAUCUCGAGGUGGGGCUCGAUCCCAUCCAGGAUUGCAAGGUAGAGGGCGGCUUCCCAACCGCCGAAAGCCACCAGCUUGCGCACCGCGCUGGGGUUGGAGGCCCUGCGCUCGCGCAAGAUGUCCUCCGCCGGCCACUCCAGCUCUCUCCGGUACCGGAGGAGCCCCUCGGCGACCGCCCUUUGCUGCGCCGCCGCCCGUUCUUUCGGGCUGACUGACGGCGGGAACGGGAUGUGGCCCCAGAAGGGCGGGUGCGACGGCCCGCCGUUUUCCACGAUCAAGGCUGAUACCUCGUCUAUGAUCGGGAUGAAGGCAUCAACCAACACCAUGAACGGAUCUGGCGGAUCCACUGCUCCGUUGGUCAUGGACGGUGUGCGGGGCGACUGUAACGAGAUAAAAUAGGAUCUGAAGUUGGGUCUGGGGUGGUGCGAGCGGUAUAGAGGCGCGGCCAUGGCUUCGCAGCGGAUGCGGCGGCCCCCGGUAGGGGAGGAGGGAUAUCUCGAGGAGGAAGAGGGGAGCGCAAGCGCAAGACGGCGGCUGUUCUUUUCUUUUUCGUUUUCUUUUAGACGGCGGCUGUUGGGGAUGGGGUAAAGAGGACGUGCGAAUGAUCUAGAAGCAAGCAACCCGCAAACGUAACGUGAUUGGACUGUGAUGUGAAUGCGUUAACAACUUAAUAACGUGUUUAACGGGAGCUCAUGUAGCAUGUGAAAACUAGUUUAAGGCUCGUAACUUUAAAAUCCAUUUAAUUCAAAUUAAAAGUCUAAGUCAACUUUUGAACACACUACAUUCAACAUUUUCUAAAACCUACGCUAACAUUGAAAAAUAUUAGAUUCAAUAUUUUCUAAAAUGUAGAUCAAUAUUUUGUAAAAUAUACUAUAUUCAACAUUUUUCAAUGUCUAUUUCAACAUCUAUUUCAACAUUUUCGGUCAAAAAAUGUCUAUUUCAAUGUCUCGACAAAAAAUGAUUCACCAUUUUUAAAUCGGUCAAAAAAUAUCUAUUUCAAUGUCUCGACACAAAAUGAUUCACCAUUUUUAAAUAAAAAUCAAUAUUUUAAAAUACUACUUUUUUUCUUCUUCUUGAUGUCUGGUGAAUAGGGGUGCAGCAGUGGGGCUGCACAUGGGGGAUGGCGGCUAGCGCAAAGGGGGUGCAACGGUGGUGGGCGACGAGCGCGAGGGUAGUAGCGGGGCCGUGCACAAGGAAGACGGCGGAUGGCGUGCAUGGGUGAGGAAGGGGAUACACGCACGCGUGGCGGCAUGCGAGCAGUAACAAAGCAAACAAAAGGAGGAGGAGUGAAGGCGGCUCGAUUGUAUAUGGUAUUAGGGUUGACAAAGGUGGAGCAACAUCCAUCGAAUGAUGUUGCAUGCACGGAUCUCCAACACAGAAAGUUCAGUACCAAAUGGACUUGAGCAAUAUUCUGACCGGGCCCAAAAGACUCAAUAACUUUUGAUUUCAAAAUCCGUGCCCACGAUCAUCACAAAUACAAAACUUGUUUUUUCAAGUCUACCAUGAGCUUCCCUUUUUAGAAAAUAAAUAAAACUAUUUAUAUAGAGUAGCUCAAAUUUUUCUAGCCUUAUGUUCCAUGCCCAAAUGAAUAGUACCACUGGCCAGGCCAAACCUGUGGAUUCAGAUCGGGGUGAAAAUGCUCAGGUCCAAGUAACCCUAACAAAAAUAUUAAGAUAGUACCAACCCUGCACCUAGAAUAGUUUCUAUAUUAUUAAUUCCAUUGCCAUAUAGGACUUUUAGCUUAUGUGGUACUAUAUGUAUCGGUGUUUAGUAUUGCCAACUAGUAAUUUGCAUUGCGUGUCCUUGACUCUCGAUGGCAAGCACUCAGACUCGAGGUAUUAUACUGGUUCGAACGAAUGCCCUACGUCCAGUAAGAAGUCGGAGUUUGUGUUCCUCGAGCUCAAGAGCUCAGCGCUUACAACGUGACGCUUGCAAGCAUGAGAACAAUGGCGGAGGCGGGGUGCAAGAAUUUUUUAACACCCCUGCUGUAGUUUACGUGAUCUUGGACCAAAAUAUUGCUUAGGCAGGCUUAAAUGAAUUGUUAGCGUAAGGGCCCUUCAGUUCUUUGCUAGCUGCAGCGUGGAGAACCUGGAGACAAUCGAUCGCUCCGAGGAAAAAAAGAACGCGAAAGGUCAUGGCAAACUCGCAGUUUCAGUUCGUCGCCCCCUCGUUUCCCCAGUUUACAAAUACCUAACUCUACCUCACAUCCAUAUCCAUGGCAGCACAGGGCGACGAAAAAGGGAGAUCAAGCGACUGAUUAAUUGCACCAGCCGCGCGAGACAUCGGGGAAAUCUCAAGACGUCGUCUCUCGGCCGUCAGGUUCUCGAGAUCAACUAAUCAAGAACUUAAAUUUCCUUCCCUUUGCUUGCAAUCUACGCUACCAAGGUAACUAGUGAGUAGUGAAACUUCGUUGAAUCAUUUUGUUUGGUUAAUUUCACUUUGAUUUACUUUGUGCAGUCAGCAACUUGUAGAUGGUAACUGAUCAAUUAUUUUCUUUGAAGGAUAAUCAUGGUACUAAAAAGGAAGACACUGGAUUCUUUUUACCAGAAGAAAGAUAGUGUGCCUGAUGUACUCGAAAACCCUGAACAAAUUGGAGUUGUUCCUUGACUCUAAGACAGAUGAAGUUGCUGCCUAGCUUGCUGCACAGCAAGGAGAGGAAGAAGAUGAAGAGGUCGCAGAGGAAAUUCCUAGGCAAUCACCACCUAAAGUUCAGAGAAUCAAUUCUGAAGGUAUUAGUGUUCUAGUAGUGGAACGAGAUUCAGGUCUAUGUCGCCAAAUUUGGGAUUAUCCUCCCAAUGAACAAGACCAAGUUGUCAAAGCGUACAUAAAGCAUGGUUCAUACCAAUUUCUUAAGGAUGAGUACCCUUCUUCCGGUUCAAAGAAACACCCACACAGAUUUCAGGUUCAUUGGUUCAAUCUUUUCCUUGGUUAGAAUAUUCACCUACAAAAGAUGCAGCCCGUUGCUUUCCAUGCUUUCUAUUUUCUAAGAAGCCGGUUAUAAAAGUAGGAUCAGAUGCCUUCACAAUGAAAGGGUUUAGAAGUUGAAAAAAGUUAGUAAUGGGAAAUAGUGUGCCUUCCUGACUCACAUGGGAAAGGAUUGUGAUCAGCUCAUAAAUACAAUGUUCAAUGUUACGAGAAUUUGAAGAAUCAGCCAUGUCAUAUUGAGCAUGCAGUUGAGAAGCAAACCAAUGAAGAGAUCAAAAAUAAUAGACUGUCUUAGAGCAUCAAUUGAUGCAAUCCGAUGGUUAGCUUCCUAGGCUUGUCCCUUCAGAGUACAUGACGAAUUUGUUGACUCAUAGAGCCAAUAUAACUUUAUUGAAACGGUAAAACUUCUAGCUUCAUAUGAUGACGAGGUCAAGGCAGUGAUUCUAGGUAAUACUCCACAGAAUGCAACAUACACUUCAGCACAAAUUCAGGAUCUUAUUGCUAGUAAUGUGCAAACAUUAAUUCAUUAAUUCAUAAUGAAAUAAGAGAUGUUAAGUUUUGCUUGGUUGUUGUUGAAUCAAGAGAUGAGUCAAGAAAAGAACAAAUGUCAGUUGUUCGUUUUGUAGAUAAAGAAGGCUUUAUCAGAAAAUGGUUUCUUGACCUUAUUCAUGUUCAUGAUACAUGCUCUGAAACUCUCAAAUAAGAAUUGUGCUCUAUUUUAGCUUACCGUAAAUUGGAUGUUCAAAAUAUUCAUGGACAAGGAUAUGAUGGUGCUAGUAACAUGCGAGGAGAGUGGAAUGGACUCCAAGCAUAAUUUAUGAAAGUGUGACCUUAUGCAUAUUAUGUUCAUUGCUUGGCUCAUCAAUUAUAGUUAGCUCUUGUUGGUGCAUCCAAAGAAGUAAUUGAGGUUCAUAAUUUUUUUGAACAUCUACCUUUUAUUGUCAAUACUGUUUUAUCUUCCAGUAAGAGAAAUGAUGACCUGCAUGACAAUCAAGUUGCUGAAAUGGAGCAUCUAAUUGAGCUUAACGAGCUUGAAACUGGAAUUGGUGCCAACCAAAUUGGAACCUUGCAUCGUCCUGGUUGUACUAGGUGGAGCUUGCAUUAUGGUUCAGUUUGCAGCCUUUUGAAACUUUACAAGCCUACAAUACCUGGUGCUGAAAGAUAUUGCUACCAGUAAAGGUUCGGGAACUACAGCUUAUGGACAAACAAAGGCUGCUGGUGUUGUUACAUUAAUGAUGUCAUCUGACUUUGUUUUUAUUUUGCAUGUUGUGAAAAAACUCAUGGGUAUCAUAGAUCUACUUUGCAAAAAAGCUAAAAAAAAUCUCAGGAUAUUGUCAAUGCUAUGGAUGAUGUUGCCACUACCAAAAAGUUGUUCCAGAAUUUAAGAGAUAAUGGUUGGAGAUCCUGCAAGGAAGAUCCACGUCGGAGUUCUGGAGCUAGGGUCAUCAAGAUCAAGGUAGGAUCCUGGAGGAGAUCUGGUGAUGUACAAUCAUUCAUGGUGAAGUAAUAGAUGUGUUCUUGUUCUUAGCGAUCUAAGUGCCUCCUUCUAUGGUUUUAUACUUUAUCGGGUUUGCUUUCUUUUCAAUCUAUGAUCGAUGAUAGAUUACAUAGGUGUUCUUGUAGUCGUGGUGACUAGAUUUGCAUACCUGAUCUACCAAUGAGUAUAACAUGUUCUUAUGAUCGUGCCCUUAGACUAUCUGUGCUAAUAGAAGUGAUCGUGAUAGGAUCUUUCUUGUACCGGAGGUGUAGAUUUAAAGAGACUUUUUGCCAAGAUCAUAUAUGUGUUGCUUUGCUACCGUUGCUCAGAAUUACAACAUAUGCGUAGUUUAGGUUGCUCUAGAUUGGUUACCUCUACUUAUCUGUUAUCCAUCUGUAUAUGCUAGAUUAGAUCUGAAUCACCAUCAACAUAGAGUUCAUACUAACAAUGCUUGUUAAAGUAGAUCUUGUGUUAUAAGUUUCUUGAAUUGAUAAAUCUUGGAAGAAUAUUCUAAGGGAAGGGCUACAACUAAUCCGUGCGCUUGCAGUCCACAAUUGGCAUGCUAACUGCCAUAAACAGAAACCGAUUUAAAAAACAAAAAAAAGGAAAAAGUUGCUCACCGACCGCCGGGCCAGCUCCCUCGCCACACGUUGCCAGAUCCUCCACCAGUAGCCCACGCGCGAGGGGCAGCCAUCGCCGGAGCCGUGCCGCCCACUAGGCCCUUGCCGGCCGCGGGUCGGAGUGUCUUGUCACGCGAUUCCAAUGCUAUCCGGUUCCUAUGCUGCGUCGUAGGAGGCAUGCCUGGUGCUGUGCUGCUGUUGGCGCUCGUUAUUGCUACCCUUUUAGUGUUAUUUAAGUAGUAUUUUUGGAUUAAAUCUUAUACUAACCCGCAUACUAACCCGCCACUUGACACAUGACAUAACCUCAUAUUUGCAUAUGUGUUGUAUUUGGACUAUAUUGCAAAAUAGCAGGAAAUACGGGAUAAUAAUGUCAUACAAGCGAUGAAAAUAGCAUCCAAAAAUGUAAAUCCGACUGCAUUGAUGCUCUAUGAGGCGGACACACCUGAACCUUUGCCCUCCCUCCUAAGUUUAUCAUGACUAGUCAGCAAUAGCAACCACAACAGUGCCCACGAAGCGCUCUUUAAAAGGUUUCCAAAAUUACUACGAGCAUCAAUAAAAUUCAUAGGAGAUGAAACUAUGGAUCAGUUUGGGAGGGAUUCUCUCAAAAUGACUUCACCAGUGAUAUGCCAAAGCCGGUAAAGUUAAAAGUAGUGGCUUCACCCAAUUUCAAGUUCAUUUUAACCUCAGAUCACAAAACGGCUUCAAGCUACAUUACCUCGUUUUGCGCAAAACAGGUGAAAUUGAAGUCGAAAUGAGCCCUCCAAGCGGUACCUAUACAUUUACCUCGUUCAAGUGCAUGGUAGCCUCAACUGCCAUUAUGCGGCUAAAACGUCGGCCUCCAGGAAGUAACCUGAUGCCAGAAACUACCAUCCCACGUUCCACAUCAACAGAGAACACAUACUGGCAGUUGUCCUCAGCCACAGUGAUCAGACAACGCCGUCCUCUUCAUCAAGGAGGCUAAGAAUGGGGCACCUGGCGGGCACCUUCUUGGGCAGCUUCAGCUCUUCGUAGGUUGGAUCAGCCCACACAUCAAUGAUACGGAAGGAUCCGCCUUUCUUCCAUACUGAGUUUGAGAUGCAGAGAGUCCAUGUUGUGAGGGUGAUCAGGUCGUCAAUGUCGCUGGCUGGAUUCAUGUGAACGAACCUGACAGUGUCACCACGAACACUGCACAUGGAACUGAAGUCCCUUGGCCUCCCCCGGCCGUGCUCAGGAUGCCAUGACCGGGAGUAUCCCUUGGGCAAGGAUAUGAACCGAAACUUUGGAUCAUCCAUAACCUUGUCGCAGAUCAGGAUGCCCUUAAGGAGAUCCACCCAGCAUAUAG